rnacentral:rRNA from 1 species
AUGAACGCUGGCGGCGUGCCUAAUACAUGCAAGUCGAGCGAACAGAUGAGGAGCUUGCUCCUCUGACGUUAGCGGCGGACGGGUGAGUAACACGUGGAUAACCUACCUAUAAGACUGGGAUAACUUCGGGAAACCGGAGCUAAUACCGGAUAAUAUAUUGAACCGCAUGGUUCAAUAGUGAAAGACGGUUUUGCUGUCACUUAUAGAUGGAUCCGCGCCGCAUUAGCUAGUUGGUAAGGUAACGGCUUACCAAGGCAACGAUGCGUAGCCGACCUGAGAGGGUGAUCGGCCACACUGGAACUGAGACACGGUCCAGACUCCUACGGGAGGCAGCAGUAGGGAAUCUUCCGCAAUGGGCGAAAGCCUGACGGAGCAACGCCGCGUGAGUGAUGAUGGUCUUCGGAUCGUAAAACUCUGUUAUUAGGGAAGAACAAAUGUGUAAGUAACUAUGCACGUCUUGACGGUACCUAAUCAGAAAGCCACGGCUAACUACGUG